rnacentral:rRNA from 1 species
UCUGGUUGAUUCUGCCAGUAUCAUAUGCUGUCUCAAAGAUUAACCAUGCAUGUCUAAGUAUAAGCACUUUAUACUGUGAAACUGCGAAUGCUCAUUAAAUCAGUUAUCGUUUAUUGAUAUACCUUACUACAUGAUACCUUGUAAUUCUAGAGCUAAUACAUGCUGAAAACCUCGACUUCGGAAGGGUGUAUUAUUAGAUAAAAACCAAUGCCCUUCGGGCUCCUUGUGAAUCAUAAUAACUUAACGAAUCCAUGGCCUUGCCCGCGAUGUUCAUUCAAAUUCUGCCCUAUCAACUUUCGAUGUAGAUAUGCCUACCAUGUGGCAACGGUAACGGGAAUUAGGGUCGAUUCCGGAGAGGACCUGAAAACGCUACCACAUCCAAGGAAGCAGCAGGCGCGCAAAUUACCCAAUCCCGACACGGGAGUAUGACAAUAAAUACUGAUACGGCUCUUUUGGUCUCGUAAUUGAAUGAGUACAAUCUAAAUCCCUUAACGAGAACAAUUGAGGCAAGUCUGUGCCAGCAGCCCGUAAUUCCAGCUCCAAUAGCGUAUAUAAAGUUGCAGUUAAAAGCUCUAGUUAACCUUGGUCUGCUGGCCGGUCCGCCUCACCGCGAUACUGUCCGCUGACCUUCCUUCUGGGAAUCUCAUGCCUUCACUGCUGUGGGAACCAGACUUUACUGUGAAAAAUUAGAUGUUCAAAGCAGCCUUUGCUCGAAUACAUAGCAUGAAUAAUAGAAUAGGACGUGCGUUCUAUUUGUGUUCUAGGACCGCCGUAAUGAUAUAGAUAGUCGGGGCUCAUAUCAGCUGUCAGAGUGAAAUUCUGAUUGCUGAAGACUAACUACUGCGAAAGCAUUCGCCAAGAUUUUCAUUAAUCAGGAACGAAAUUAGGGAUCGAAGACGAUCAAUACCUCGUCUCUAACCAUAAACUAUGCCACUAGGAUCGACGGUGUUUCUAUUAUGACCCGUUCGCACCUACGAGAAUCAAAGUUUUGGGUUCUGGGGAGUAUGGUCCAAGCUGAAACUUAAAGAAUACGGAAGGCACCACCAGGCUGAGCCUGCCUUAAUUGACUCAACACGGGAAACUCACCAGUCCAGACAAAAUAAGAUGACAGAUUGAGAGCUCUUCUUAUCUUUGAUGUGCAUGCCUUCUUAGUUGUGGAUGAUUGUCUGCUAAUUGCAUAACGAACGAGACCUCGCCCUUAAAUAGCCCGGUCCGCAUUUGCGGCCGCUGGCUCUUAGGACUAUCGGCUCAAGCCAUGAAGUGCCGCAAUAACAGUCUGUGAUGCCCUUAGAUUUCUGGCCGCACCGCGCUACACUGACAGCCAGCAGUACAUCACCUUGCCGAAGUUGGUAAUCUUGUUAACCCUUGUCUGGGAUAGAGCAUUGCAUAUUGCUCUUCAACGAGAAUGCCUAGUAGCACGAGUCAUCAGCUCGUGCCGAUUACGUCCCUGCCCUUUGUACACACCGCCCGUCGCUACUACCGAUUGAAUGGCUCGUGAGCCUUCGACUGGCUCAGGAGGUUGCAACGACCCCCAGAGCCGGAAAGUUGUCAAACCCGUCAUUUAGAGAAGUAAAAGUCGUAACAAGUUUCCGUAGGUGAACCUGCGGAAG